rnacentral:rRNA from 1 species
UGCCAGCACCGCGGUAAUACGGAGGGUGCGAGCGUUAAUCGGAAUUACUGGGCGUAAAGCGCACGUAGGCGGCUUAUUAAGUCAGCUGUGAAAUCCCCGGGCUCAACCUGGGAACUGCAGUUGAUACUGGUAGGCUAGAAUUUGGGAGAGGUGAGUGGAAUUUCCGGUGUAGCGGUGAAAUGCAUAGAGAUCGGAAGGAACACCAGUGGCGAAGGCGACUCACUGGACCAAAAUUGACGCUGAGGUGCGAAAGCGUGGGUAGCAAACAGGAUUAGAUA